GAGAGAGGCUUGCUGGCAACGAAAGCUGCUAUUUACCGUCACCCUGGUUGGAUUCCAGGGCUCACUCG
rnacentral:tRNA from 1 species